UUCAGUGUGGCAGACUAGUGCAAUGAACUUAAGAUUCAUAUAUAAAUUAUAUUAUUUCUCUGAAA
rnacentral:tRNA from 1 species